GGCAUUGCGUUGGCAGCCAUAUUGGACUUUCUAUCCAUCCCUGGAACCAGGACCACAUUCCUCACCAGCGCGGCAGUAUCCUACUCGAAGUCUAUGAGACCAGGCUGGCUGUUGGGGUGGGGCAGCAUGCAUCACGUGUCUACAGGACCCUGUGGGCUGAACCCUUACUCAAUGCUGUUGAAGCCCUAUGUUCCUAGGAGCUAAAAGAAAAGUAAGUCAUGUGUCACCACCAACCAAUAUAUGACUUUACAAAUCUCAAUCUUAUUGAAAUUACAGCUUGAAUACUCAAUGUCUUUUUUUCCUUAAUGGCCCCCAUACACACUCAGAUUGUAAAACUGAUGAACAAAGCAUUUGACACAACGGUUGUGUAAAUAUUUUGUGCCAAACAACUGUUGUGUUAAAUGCAUUUUACAACCUGGGCGUGUGUGUGGGAAAUGUGUUUGUUUUUCAGGUUGAAGUUUCCCUCCAUCCAGCCCUACUCAAGAGUAAAAGCGAGGAGAAUGAUAUCAAAUCUGGGGCUGGAGAAACGUUAGCGGUUUAGACCGUCGGGCCAGUAACUGAAAGGUUCUUGGUUUGAAUCCCCAAGCCCACUAGGUGAAAAAUCUGUCCUUGAGCCCUUGAGCAAGGCACUUAACCCUAAUUUCUCCUGUAAGUCACUCUAGAUAAGUGUCUGCUAAAUUACUAAAAUGUAAAAUGUCAAGUGUGUGUGUAUUUACAAGCGUAUUAUUCCAAUAUGAUCCUUUGAACAAAUCUGAAGUCUGAUGUAUCUUCUACAUAAAAAAAUGUAUUUCAUCAAUAGGACCAUGGAAAGGGUGGGUCCCCAUAAACCAUGUUAUAAACUGAUUGACCUCAUAAACCAUAAAUACAAGUAUGUGUGUGUGUGUGUGAACAGUUCAAAUACUGUAUGAAAAAAUACCUGAUUAAAUAAAACCAAUUUUACGAAA